GGAUCCAGACUUUGAUCAUGGCUCAGGAUGAACGCUAGCUACAGGCUUAACACAUCCAAGUCGAGGGGAAACGAUAUUGGAAGCUUGCUUCCGAUAGGCGUCGACCGGCGCACGGGUGAGUAACGCGUAUCCAACCUGCCCACCACUUGGGGAUAACCUUGCGAGAGUAAGACUAAUACCCAAUGAUAUCUCUAGAAGACAUCUGAAAGGGAUUAAAGAUUUAUCGGUGAUGGAUGGGGAUGCGUCUGAUUAGCUUGUUGGCGGGGUAACGGCCCACCAAGGCGACGAUCAGUAGGGGUUCUGAGAGGAAGGUCCCCCACAAUGGAACUGAGACACGGUCCAAACUCCUACGGGAGGCAGCAGUGAGGAAUAUUGGUCAAUGGACGAGAGUCUGAACCAGCCAAGUAGCGUGCAGGAUGACGGCCCUAUGGGUUGUAAACUGCUUUUAUAAGGGAAUAAAGUGAGCUACGUGUAGCUUUUUGCAUGUACCUUAUGAAUAAGGACCGGCUAAUUCCGUGCCAGCAGCCGCGGUAAUACGGAAGGUCCGGGCGUUAUCCGGAUUUAUUGGGUUUAAAGGGAGCGUAGGCCGGAGAUUAAGCGUGUUGUGAAAUGUAGAUGCUCAACAUCUGCACUGCAGCGCGAACUGGUUUCCUUGAGUACGCACAAAGUGGGCGGAAUUCGUGGUGUAGCGGUGAAAUGCUUAGAUAUCACGAAGAACUCCGAUUGCGAAGGCAGCUCACUGGAGCGCAACUGACGCUGAAGCUCGAAAGUGCGGGUAUCGAACAGGAUUAGAUACCCUGGUAGUCCGCACGGUAAACGAUGGAUGCCCGCUGUUGGUCUGAAUAGGUCAGCGGCCAGGCGAAAGCAUUAAGCAUCCCACCUGGGGAGUACGCC
rnacentral:rRNA from 1 species